UCCGUAGGUGAACCUGCGGAAGGAUCAUUACAUAUUAAGCAAAGCCGGGUACAAGAGCCACCGCUUCGGCGCAACUCUGUCCUGGUCGCGCGAAUAUUCACCCAUGUUUUUGCGUACUUCUUGUUUCCUUGGUGGGCUCGCCCGCCAUAGGACAACCAUUAAACCUUUUGUAAUUGCAGUCAGCGUCAGUAAAAUGUAAUCGUUACAACUUUCAACAACGGAUCUCUUGGUUCUGGCAUCGAUGAAGAACGCAGCGAAACGCGAUAGGUAAUGUGAAUUGCAGAAUUCCGUGAAUCAUCGAAUCUUUGAACGCACAUUGCGCCUUCUGGUAUUCCGGUAGGCAUAUCUGUUUGAGCGUCAGCAAAAAACCUCUCAGCAUUUAAUUUAUGUUGGUACUGGGCGUGAGGUAUGAGCUUAUAGUAUAGCUCGCCUCCGCUUUAAACUUGCUGCACGACCGUAAGCUAUUGCUAGGUUUUAUGAAGUUGGUGUUUACAUUUUUUCAUAAUCUAGUGUUGGGGAGCGGCGUUAAACCUGAUGUCCCUUUCGUGGACUGAAGUUUGACCUCAAAUCAGGAUAAGGGGAUACCCGGCUGGAACUUAAGGCAUAUCAAUAAGGCGGGAGGGAAGGUCGGACUGGCCAAGGGGCACACAGGGGGGGGAUA
rnacentral:rRNA from 1 species